GAAUUUUUAUAGGCCGGGCACAGUGGCUCACACCUGUAAUCCCAGCACUUUGGGAGGCCAAGGCAGGCGGACUUCUUGAGGUCAGGAACUCAAGACCAGCCUAGCCAACAUGGUGAAACCCUGUCUCUACUAAAAAUACAAAAAUUAGCUUGGGUGGGGGGGGGCGGGCGGUUGGCACGUGCCUGUAAUGCCAGCUCCUUGGGAGGCUGAGGCAGGAGAAUCGCUUGAGCCCGGGGGACAGAAGUUGUAAUGAGCCGAGACUGAGCCACUGUACUCUAGCCUGGGUGACAGGAACAAGACUCUGUCUCAAAAAAAAAAUUAUUAUAAAGGUGUAGUAACUAAGACUACUCACACUGUGUGGUAUUGAUAGGGAGUGAACAAAUCCAGUACAGAAUAGAGAGUCCACAAACAGACACGAAUAUAUACAGACAGUGCGGCAGAAGUGGCAUGACUAACCAAUGGAGGAAGGGAUGCACUGUGACCCAGGGUUCCAAUCCCAAAUCGGAUACAAAAAUACAUUAUAUAUUUCUGAAAGAUUUAAAUGAGAAUAACAAAACUUGACAACUUUCUUUUUUUUGGUGGGGGGGUUGAGGGGACGGAAUUUGGCUCUCGUCGCCCAGACUGUCUCAAAAAAAAAUUAAAAAAAGAAACAUCUGUAAUGUAAGAAGUGAAACUGGGAUUUGAACCCAGACAAAAUGAAUUGACAGAAAGUUUGGGGAGGUGAUGUGCAUAGCAAUUAGUAUUUUAAAAAAAAGUUCAAAGAAUAAAAAUAUUUCAGUUAUUUUUCAGCACUUCUCAGGUGGGCCAAUAUCGCUACCACCAAAAAGACAUAUUAUAUUGUGGGACAGGCAUUAAGUUGUUUAGGGUAUUGGAUGUUAUGUCGGGAAAACGAAAUUUAGCUAGCUUAAAUAGCAAGGUGAGCUAGGGUAGGGCCUGUGUUGGGUACCACAGGGCUCCAGCUCUGCCUCUGAUUCUCUUGACUUUCCCAGGACUGUCUGAGCUUUGUUCUAGGCUGGUAGCAAGACAGCUGCAGUAGUCUGAAGCAUCACAUUCAGGUACAGUGACAUGCAAAGGAAGAAGCAUCAGCUCAUCUCUUCUGUGAGAAAGGACACAUUUCCUAGAAGUCUCCUGGGAGAGACAUUCCUUCAAAAUUCGUCUGAAUUGAGUCUGAAUUGAGUCACAAUUCUGUUCCUAAACCAGUCUCUGCCAAGGGAUGUGAGAUAAACAUAACUGGUGUAGUAAAGCAUAUGGCUUUGUGGAGGAAGGUGGAUACCUCCCCAAAGUUUGGUGCUUUUAAGGAGAAAGAAGGAGGGGAAUGAAUGUUAAUUAGGCAAUUAACAAAAUCUGCUCCAUUCAUGAAGCUUCACUAUGAGCACCGUGAAACAUUCCCACACUUCCCUUCGUUCUGAUUCCACCUUUACCUAGAAUCUUUCUGAUUGACACUUAACUUUUCCAGAUUUCUUGAUACUAGGAAAGUACUGAAUGAGUCUGUCAGUCACUGAAAACAUCUAUCUCUCACUAUUAAAUUUAAAAAUUGAUAUUUUGGUUUAGGGUUAGGGUUUUCUGUUCCUACGAUUUUUGCUAUUUCUAGAAUGUUAUGUAAAUGGAGUCAAACAGAAUGCAGUAGCCUUUCGAGUCUGGCUUCUUACACUUAGCAUAAUGCAUUUAAAGUUCCUCAUGGCGGUGUCUGCGUCUGUAUCUUUUUCCUUUUCAUUGCUGAGUAUCAGUCCAUCAUAAGGAUGCAUCCCAGUCUGUCUAUCCAUUCCCCAGUUGAAGGGCAUUUGGGUUAUCUCGUUAGGGGCAAUUAUGAAUAAAGCUACUAUAAACUCAUGUACAAGUUUCUGUAUGAACAUAAGUUUUCAUUUCUCUUCUAAAAACACCUACACGAGGAAUUGCUGGCUCAUAUAGUGAGUGUAUUUUUUUUUUUUUUUUUUUUUUUGAGAUGGAGUCUCACUCUGUCGCCCAGGCUGGAGUGCUGUGGUGCAAUUUCGACUCACACAACCUCCGCUUCCCGGGUUCAAGCGAUUCUCCUGCCUCAGCCUCCCGAGUAGCUGGGAUUGGAG
rnacentral:lncRNA from 10 species